rnacentral:rRNA from 1 species
GAUGAACGCUGGCGGCGUGCUUAACACAUGCAAGUCGAACGGUGAAGCAGGAGCUUGCUCCUGUGGAUCAGUGGCGAACGGGUGAGUAACACGUGAGCAAUCUGCCCUGGACUCUGGGAUAAGCGUUGGAAACGACGUCUAAUACCGGAUACGAGGCGUGGGGGCAUCCCCAACGCCUGGAAAGAACUUCGGUCCAGGAUGAGCUCGCGGCCUAUCAGGUAGUUGGGGAGGUAACGGCUCACCAAGCCUACGACGGGUAGCCGGCCUGAGAGGGUGACCGGCCACACUGGGACUGAGACACGGCACAGACUCCUACGGGGGGCAGCAGUGGGGAAUAUUGCACAAUGGGCGCAAGCCUGAUGAAGCAACGCCGCGGGAGGGACGACGGCCUUCGGGUUGUAAACCUCUUUUAGCAGGGAAGAAGCGAAAGUGACGGUACCUGCAGAAAAAGCACCGGCUAACUACGUGCCAGCCGCCGCCGUAAAAC